UCAGUACGAACAGCUUUAACGCAACUCCAAACGCCAGGCCAGCAGCCCAGAACCGUGGAAGACCGAACAGCUAAAAGAUCAUCUUUGAAUCCUUUCUCAUGGAGCUUUUUGAAGAUAUUCUAAAACGGGUGGACAACGAAUUUUCAGGAUAUCCAACAUUUACCCAGCUGCUACCAGGAAUAAUUGAUUUGGAGCAGCCGUCAUUAGCUGAGAAAUCCGUGGUUCAAACCGAGACAUCACCCGGUCCUUUACGAAGCCCUUCACCAUCACACUAUCGACCUGACAGUCCCCCAAGAAGGAUCCCUGCUGCAUUAUGGACUCUGAACGACUACGGAGGAGCCGAUGAAACAGACAGUAUUCUACCGUUUUGUACGAACGUUUUUACAAACACACAAAGAACAGAGGUUAUAACCAUCACAUCAACACCCCAGGGAACCUCAAGCCAAUCGCGCCAUAUUCUCGACCCCAAGACGCAACGCACAGCGGCCAGCCAUCUUGAAUCAGCUAUUUCUGAGAUAGAAACAAUAUUCCGUCAAGAUAUUCUAAAACUGGAGGACAACGAUCUUUAUGAUAUGUCUUUAUGUCAAUUGUAUGUAUUUUUUAUGAUAAAAUGUAUAUAUUAUGUAUAAAUAUAUUGUAAUAUUAUUGUAGAAAAGGACCCUGUAGUUGGUGGAAGAAUCCUUGACUUCAUGGCCAUUUACACAGGUGGACCAGGGGCGAUUUAAUUAGGUCGGGGGGAAAUGUCCGACAGAUCUCAACCCCAUAAAAUGAGGAAAUCGCCAGCGCUCGAUCUCGCUGUCAUGAAAUUACAUGUACACAUGAAGCCACUUGAAAGGGUGAAAUAUGAAACGCCAUUGUCUGCUGAACUGAUCGAUUCUGAUAUCAACCUAAUGGGUAUUAUAGAUUGAAUAAGCGAUCACUGUAUGUAUUAUUCUUCUCAUGAUUAUGAUAAAUAGUUACGAGCAUAAAUGACUCAAGGAUGUUUCCUAUUGACUUCAUAAUGAACGGGAUUGUUGAAUUCCUGAAUUAUGGUAAUAAUGAAAGAUUGUUAUGAUUUGAUCUUUAUGAUUAUGAAUUUGCUUGGAUACAUGUUUUGAAUUUGAUUGGGAUACCUGUUAUUCUGUUUAUUUUGUUAUGCAGCACAGACUACUCAGUAAAUAUACCACAUUAUGGUUAAAGGAA